UUUGGUGCGAUUUCACCGGCUAAGCGAAGCUUUCGAAAAACACUUCCAUGGCGGGAGGCGGAAGCGGGAAUUACGGUGACCCAUCAAAGAGAAGAACUAAUUUCGCAGAAUUUUGUUCAAAUACGGUCCCAAAUCCAUUCAGGUGGCUUCUAAGACAGGAGAGUAUAAACAACAAGUGAUAUUUAUUGGUGGAUUAACUGAUGGACUUUUCGCUACUGAGAUGCACAAGAGAUCGACCAACUUAUAAGCUAUCUCAUCAACAAAGAGAACUCCGAGAGGGCGUUGUUCUGCUUGGUCAUAGCAUUGGCUGCCAGGUGAUUGGUUAAUUCCUCAAAAAAAAUUCUGUGAUGUUCUGAAAGAACAGUUGUGACAGAAAC